ACUAGCUCCACCUCGAGCAGCUACAUGCUGCUGUAACAUUGAUGCAUCAGUAUUAACAAUCUAGUAAAGUAAUAUGAUAUUAUAUCAGCCACAGGGGACAUUUUACUGCAGAAUUAGUACUUUUCUUUUGAUAUUUUAUGCACAUUUUGCUGAUGAUACUUUUGUACUUUUACUUAAGACUUUGAAUGCAGAACUUUUACUUGCAGUCGAGUAUUUUUACAUUGUGCUAUUUGUACCUAAAAAGAUCUGAGUACUUCUUCCACCGCUGGAAAGACGUGUGCAUUUACCAGGCAAGGAGGGGUCCGACUAAAGACACUAUCAACUUGCAUUAUGGGAAAUGUAGAUCCAGUGCUUUUGAAGCUAAUGCUAGUAACUAAAAGUUCCUAGUGAGUCGAUUUUUCAAAAUAAAAUAAAUGAAAUUGUAUUUUUAUUCUUUCUCUGCCAAGUUUUGCUGUUUGGACAAUAUUGAUGCAGCGUGACUGAUUAUCAUGGACAGAUAUAUUGCUAAUACGGUCAUUUCUAAUCAAACUUAAUGCUAAUUGAAAUUCGCGUGCUUGUAUUAUAUACAUGUGCUGAAUUGUAACACAGAGGUGUGUUUUUCUGAAUGACACUUAGUCUCAUUUCAUUCACCACAACACACUGCUGGUUACCUGGAUACUAUAGCUGUCUGUCACCGCCACCUGAGGGCUGUUUGUGUCAAAGAGAGAGUAUUUUGAAUUCUCUCAUCAAAAACACAAAUACUGGAAUUGCAAAACAAACGUGGUGUUUCGAGGGUGAAAACCUCAAGCGAGUACGUUUUUCUCUUUUGAGUAAAAACCCUAAAACAAACGUCUGAAGUUUAGAAAACAGCUUCAUCUUUUAAUCUGAGACACAACAAACUAUGUUGCAUCUACAACACAUAAAAUAUCUGAAUUUUUUUAGCUUUUGUAUCCGCUAAUAAAAUGAUUAACAAACGGUUAACGUCUGCGACAAUAAACUACAGUGAGUUUUUUUACUUUUUGUUUACUUUUGCUUGUUUCUCAGGAGAGCAGCAACAAGAAAACGGGCCAAGAAGUAAAGUUUUUUUAUUUCUAAUUGUAUUUUGAGAGAGUUAAAUGAAUUAAAUAAAAUUGAUGAUAGCUUGAUUAGAUGUUUUGGGGACAGAACCAUCGUUAAUGUUUUAUUUGAUUUCAUUUAAUCCUUUAUUUUUAGUUAGUUUUUUAGCUAGUUAUUAGCGCUUUUCCUUCUAUGACAAGUCAAAAUGUUCUCUGUGAGAAAUGUCUAUUUUCAGCAUCCGUCCAAAACCUCAUUCAGACACCCAACAACUAAUCAAACUGGGUGACAACAGUUGACUUUUCUCACGGGGCGGACAUUUUGACUUGCAGGAAAAGGUGUAACUAAUAAACUUAAAGAUGGCUGGCUGUCCUAAAUGGACUGCAGCAAUUAUUCAUGUUUUUAUUUUACACUUGAGUUUAAAUGUCUGCGUGAGAACGUGAGAGUGGUCUGGCGUUGGAGAGGCUGCUAAUUUUGCACAUUUUAUACGACGGACAUUUUGACUUGUCCAACACAGGUGUAACUAGUAGCUUCUAAAUGGAAAGUACGUGAGAUCGGUCUGCUGAUUGGCUAAACUGGGACACACAGAGAUUGGCUGUUCAGGUGUAACAUCAGUAACGGCUGCCAGAUCCAGCGUCCAAGUGUAUAAUGGCUCACUGACAUUGUUUCCUAGAACCCUUAAAUUUAAAUUUUUCAUCAUAAAUGUAAAUUUUUUUUAUAAUAUGAGAAGUUAAAAUGUCCACCAAUGGUAGCCAACUAACAAUGAUUCAAAAUCUGAAGCGCGGUUUACCUUUUUAAUCUCGACCAAAGCCCCCAAAUUUUCUUGUUUUACUGGAAUAGUUUAAAAGAGAGGUUUUGGUGUUGUUGAGGGAUUUCUCGGUGUGCAAGUUGAACAACUGAUGAAUGGCGAUGAGUGGUGUUCGGUUUCUAGCGUGCCCGGUACAGAAAAACACAGUUGCAGGUUGGCGAACACUGGCGAACAUUAUGACUCGUCAUAGUGCGAAGAAGCACAGGUGUAAAUAAUGACGACGGAGGCUUUUGACUUGUGCGUCCUGGGAAGCCAUGUCAGUGAGCCAGUUUACAGGGCUCUGGUACCACUAAAUGGUAUGCGGCCAUUACUGAUUCAUUGUUAUUACACCUUAUAAAAGCCUGAGAAUGAGCCUUAGAUCACAACAAAACCGAAAAGUGAGGUUUUCGGUGUCACGGUGGACCAUUAACUACCAGAAACUUCUCCAAAAUUCACCAACGGAGGCUGCCGGCAGAUUAGUGAUGUAACUGAAGCCUCUGCAGAUUAGACACAUUUAAGAAAGAGACUCUCGACUCUGUCUAUCUGCUUGUCUGCCACACCCACUUCAGCUGUUUCAGCCAAUGGGACGCUGCGACAGCGAUGCUACCUGACAACAGCAGCUGACUAGGUAUUGUCCUGGUGUGUUUGUACUUACACCAGCAGGCAGAUUUGCUAUUUGGUCGAUGGACGUGCGACACGGCAGUCAGGAAGAGGAGCAGCUCUUUCUGCUGUAUAGCGCUCAUUAAGGAAAAGCUGCUUCAUUACCUGACGCACACACAAAUACACCUGACUGAAGAUAACCAGCUGUCGUUCGGACGCCUUCCUGCUAAGACGCAGCAUGUGGGAGGAGAACUCUGAUACAGAGCAUGAGGUUGGCGGUAAACUAGACUACUCGCCGGUGUCCUGGCGGGAGUAUUAUGACCAGAUGGAGGAUGUUAGCGUGGGGCUGGCCGACAGCAGGGACGUCUUCCGGAUUUAUAAAGCAGGAAGUGACGGACCGCUGCUGGUUCUGCUGCACGGAGGAGGACACUCGGCCCUGUCCUGGGCCGUCUUCACCACAGCCAUCGCCAGCAGAGUCACCUGCAGGGUACUUGCCAUGGACCUCAGGGGUCACGGUGCCACCCUGGUCCGCCAAUCAGACGACUUCUCAACUCAAACUAUGUCCAGCGAUGUAGCCAAUGUGAUUCGAGCCUGCUACGGUGAGACUCCUCCCCCCCUCGUCCUGAUUGGCCACGGAGUUGGCGGGGCGAUCGCAGUGCAUACAGCCAGCAACAUGCUGCUACCGACCACUGUGGGCCUGGUGGCUAUAGACGUCGUAGAAGGCAGUGCAAUGGAGGCACUCCACAGCAUACAGAACUUCCUGAAGGGAAGACCCAAGUCCUUCAAGUCCAUGGACCACGCUAUAGAGUGGAGCGUCAAGAGUGGGCAAAUCAGGAACCUGGAAUCUGCCAGAGUCUCAAUGGUUGGUCAGAUCAAAAGAUGUGAGGUGGAGGAGGCCGACACUCUGGAGAAGGCCAGCCCGGUGACUGACGUGGUCGUCGAGCGUAACGAGGAGUUCUACGAUCAGAGCUACGUCAAUGACAAAGAAAAUGCCGCCUCAGAGGUGAGCCUCAGCGAAGGCCAGAGUGUGUACAAGUGGCGUAUCGACCUGUCAAAGUCAGAAAAGUAUUGGGACGGCUGGUUUAGAGGAACCUCCAACCUCUUCCUGGCUUGCAACCUGCCCAAACUCCUGCUAUUGGCCGGAAUCGACCGGCUGGACAGAGAUCUGACUAUCGGCCAGAUGCAAGGUAAAUUCAUGAUGCAGGUGCUGCCCCCCUGUGGCCACGCAGUGCAAGAAGACAAACCAGACAAAGUAAGAAACCUAAGCACAGUUCUGAGGUGCAACACGUUUAACACGAGCUCAGCUGCAACAUUAAAGCGACGAACACAUGAACGCGUCACUAAUUACAAAUUAGAUUUAAAUACGAACUUUUGUCUUUUGUCGUGCGUUUGCGAGAGUAGGUGGCUGAAGCCGUGGCCGCCUUCCUGCUGAGACACAAGUUCGCUGAACCCAGAAGAGAAACCAGGAGCGCCAACUCUUUCACACGAUGAGGCCUGCAGGUUUUCCUUCAGACCAGCAAAAACAAAACAAAGGAGCUCCAGAUCCGCAUUUUCCUGAAGAACCAGAACAAACCUCCAUUUUUAUUUUCCAUCUGCAUCCUUUACCCAGACGCUGCUCUCUAGUUUUAAAGCUUAGACUGUUAAAAACAUGAGCCAUUUGUGACUAACUGCUGUGUAGUUUCUGUUCUGCUCCCGUUAUUAACCCCCCAAAGUACAUUUGCUUUGACCUCCUGUCUUUGCGACGAACAAAUCCCAAAUUUACCGCACGCGGUUGCCCACUGAGCUACGAAAGGCUGGCAGCCCAGAUCUGAGGGAGCCCAUUUCCGCCCCGGAGAAGAUUUUUUAAAAAAAGGGCAUAAAUUAAAAUAGAAAUAGAAAAAAAUAACUAAAUCAAAACCAUGAGAUGCUGAGUCACAACUAUAAGACAGUAAGUUAAAAUUAUGACUUUGUCAAUAGUUGGAGAAAUUAAGUUAAAUUUGAGUCAAAAUCCAGAGAUUUUUUAUGUCAAAAUUAUGUUUUAGUAAAUUUUGACUUAGCAGGUCAAAAUUACUUACGUCAGUUCUGUGGUAGUUUAUUUAAAAACAUCAUUACAGCGACGCCUGUAGCUACUUGAACAAAAAGAGCCGCUCAAACUGGGAUUACGAGCCACAUACGUAGCCGGACACCGAAAGAUGAUGAUAAAAGAUAAUCAGGAGUGUGUGACGUUUUCAUUGCGUGACCAUUAACACGGGGAGCGGAACACGCUAACGUUAGCCCUCGUUACGUUAGCAGAAAUAUGGACGUCCUAGGCGCCAGUUCAUUCACCACUGCUGCUUCCUCCAGCUAGAUGUUAGUUAUGUUCGAUGACUGUUAAUCAUUUUUGACCUUGUCUGCGUUUGGACGCUGUUGGAUGUACCUGUGGUUUACAGCGUGCAGCAUUAGCGCCCGUUCAGCAGAGUCUCUAGAUGAAUGUGUUUGUUGUUCAGUAUAAAGUUCACUGUGAUUCAUCUGCUUUUUGUGUCUUCAGUUCAUCAUUAGUGGUAUUUUCUUCACAGGAAGUGUGUUUUUAUGUUUUGGUUUAGAUCAAAAAGAAGAAGAAGAAAUGGGUAGUUAGCAUUAGCAACAAUAAACCACCGUGGAAGUAAAAGUAUUCGUGCCGCCUUCAGAAACUUUCCGAAGUGCAUUAAAUUCACUGCAGAGUAAACAAAAAAAAAGUUGCAGAUGGGUAGAAACUUUACAGAAAACACACACACACACACCUUUAAAUUCUACUGGAAUUAUAAAUAAACAACAAAAAAAAACGCAUGUUGUUCUUUUGUGAAAGACAUUUUUUGUAAUAAAUGUUUGUUUUCACCAACAAAACACAAACAAAUCCAGAAGGUAUCGAGUAUAAACAGCGACUGUCGGCUGUUCGGCUAUAAUUUAAUUUGCAUAACUGGGAAAAACAAACAAACAAAAAAAAAAAGCCAAGAAUUCUCCCAAUGUUUUUUUUUUUUUUUUAAAGAUGACACACAAACAGCAGGUUGGAAUAAAAACAAAAAACUUGCGAUGAAAUUUUAUUUAAAUUCUGUCCUGAAUCAGAACACGUGCAACAACUGAAACACAGAAACAAACAUGGCGUCACGGCGUAUUUACACGUGUGUAUGUAGGUAUUUUUGCGUUUGCGUGCACAGGACAACCGCACAAACAGACGCUCUGUAAAACAUUUAAUAUUGUACAAACACACACACACACACACACACACACACACAACACCACUUCACACCCCGUUGUCACGGUAGCAGAGGGGUUAACAUGGCUACUAACGCAUCGUCUCAACUUUCGCCGUCUCUCUGGAAGGAUCUGAAAUUUUAGUUUCGUUUUUCUCUCUUUUCUUUGCCGAUGAUUUCCUCUUCUACACUAGCAAAGCUGCUGCAAUGUAUUCAAAUCCACCUAUAAAGCAGGAUGCGUGUCAGUUUUGUACGUUUCCGCAGAAAUUUAGAUUAAAACGUAUAAUCCCAGCGGGAUUACGUGGCUCAGAAUUCACCUGCUUCAGCAGAGAGAGAUUAGAAACUACAACACAAAUUACAAAAUAUGGCAAAAUAUAUGGCAGUCGGCCUACAAAUCCAUACGAUUUGUAGUUUAAUAGGGACCAGAAAACAUUUCUCCGGAUCCUUUUUCAAUCCAAACACCAUCUCACAAAAACAAUCCCCAACACAGAAAUGUUGAGGGAAGACGAGAGAAAAGACAACGACCGGAAAGCAAACAAAAACAAAAACGAAGCGGGAAAGAUGACGAGAGAAAACGGAAGUGCAGCAGAAAGUGUUAAAAAUUAACAGCGGAGGGCUGCGAGGGAAAACAGAGAAGUAAAAAUCGCGGAAGGAGAGACUUUUCCAGAAGCUUCCAGAGAAACAGAAUUAAAGUGCAUCAACAAAAAGGCUCAGCAACCAAUCAAAACACAGCAUCCAGGGGGAAACAGCCACUGGAAGAAACAAAGAACCAAUCAGACGUCAUUACUGGCAGCGACACGAGGGUCCCGACGUUAACGCGUUAGCUUCUUGACAAACUGAUUUUGGAAGAGAUUCACAAAAUCUGUUAUUACCAUUGAAGCCCACUGAAUUAAAAAAAAAAUUACGAUUUCUUAAUCUCAUAUUUAUGAUUUAGUAUCUCGUAAUUACAAGAUCCAUAAUUAUGAGAUACUAGUUAUAUUUAAGAGAUAAGAAGUUGAAAAGUUAUCUGUCCGCGUCCUACAAAGCAGGAAGCUCUCUUUCGGCCCCGUAAAGUUAAAAAACAAAAACUUGUUCAGGUGUUUUUCCCAGUUCCCUUCGACUUUAUCUAAAGACGACAGCGAUAAACGUUUCCAAAAGGAGAAUCAGGCUUUCUAAUUCGUUACCGUACGUUAACGAACUCGUUACGAAGGAAGAGCAGGAAUACUUAACUCGCCUGGUUUAUCAUUGGCCUACAUUCUGGGUAUUGUUUGACGUUUCUCGACACUAGCUGAUACGCGAUCUCUUCUCAAAUGUUAAACUUUUGUCUAAUCACAGCCGUAGAAAAGUUCGUCUAAACAAAAACAGCCGAAAACGUCGAUGUAAGAGUGCGUACACAAUUUACGAAUCUGACCAGACAUUCGAUGCCAUUUCGAUUACAUUUCGGCUGGUAACUAAACAGCGUUUGGGGUUCGAUACCGAUGGAAAGGUGGGGGACCAACAUGCCACAGCAGCCUCAGUCUCUACUAGAACAAGAGAAACGGAUUCAGAGGGUCGAGUUCAGUUCACUUUCGCUACCGUGGCAGCAGAAUUGCAGUCACAUAUAAAAAAAAAAAUAAGAGAAUGAAACAGUGCAAAGUUGAAAAUCAAUUAAAUCCCUUGAAAAUAAAGCUUAUAAAACACAAAAGGAAGUGACUUUAUUUAAAACAUUCACUGAAAAUUGGCCAAGACGCAGGCAUCUUCAUACGUUACAGUAAAUACGCGCUCCACCAUUUUACCAGUGUUCAAAUUAGUACUAGUGUUUGUUAUAAACUGCGAGGAGAGAGAAAAGAUUAGGAAGCAAAACUUAAAAAUGUCUUCCUGGUUUCUGAGAGAAAAUGAACUGACUGGUACGACUGGAAACACCAACACAAGUACUGCUUUUUACUCUUACAAUUACCAAUUUAGUACAAAGUACCAAUUAUUAUUCUCGGAAAGCUAAAUUUUCAUGACGAAAACCCAGCUGCAUUUCCUGUUAAUUAUUUAUACAUACAGUUGCAUGAUGGGGAACUACAAAUCCCAUCAUGUCUCCUGAUGUUUUUUCGUUAUUUUGGAUUUGUAUGAUUUGCUUUGCUUAAAAUUCACAGUCUGCAGGUCCAGCACAUUGUUUUGAUCUGAAACACAAUGCAAGGCCAUUAAACGCUCUUGAAUACACUUAAAUUUAUUGUUUUAUGUUCAGUUUCAGAAGUCAAAUGUUGUGAUUUGUAUGCUGUUCUUUAAAAUUAAUUUCACCAGUCAAACAGGUUCUUAUUUUCCAUUCAGACUGGUUAACAGACAUUAGUACCAAAAGAGAGAGAGAUGGGAAAUAAACAGUACAGCAUUGGUUCUCCGUCCUUCGUCGAGCUCAGUUCUCAGGCUACAUUAACAAUCAGAUCCGAAUGUUUACGGACAAACUUGCAAUAGUUUAGGUUCAUAUCGUCAAGGUCCUUUACGUUCUGUAUGUAUGUACGUUUAGACAAAUAAUCAACACUUAAAUCUGCCUGAUCGAUACUCAGUCACAUUGAGGAUCACCAGGGUCGCGAGGGGAGGGAAUCAGUCUUUGCUGCUGGGUGUCUUCGUUACAAAAAUAAACGUCUCCUCUGGUAUCAAAAUAGACGACAAUCUUUAUCUCUCUCUUAGUUUCAGGCGACACGCGACGACGCGACCGCGGCCCUACGCAGUCUGCACAUCUGUUUGGCAAACCGACGACAAUGUCAUGUGGCGUAGUGAACUUGUGGAAUAUACAUUUUAUAUUUACAUGCUCGGUUUUGAGCUGAACUACGUUCGCUAAAGCAGGGAAGGAUUCUUUGCUAAACUCUGUCUACAGCUCUGAAUGUAUUUCUACGUCUCUGUAACUUGGGUGCCAUUUUUUUUCGGUCUUUCACAGCUCGUUUUGGUGGCGUUAGUCUGGAAAUGGUAAUGGCAGCUAACAUCUUUUGUGGCGUACAGACCACGGGUUUGAAAAACGCUUCUUAGGUUCGCUUAAGCUCAGGAGAAAAGAUCCCCGACUAGCAAGUAAAAGAUCCUUGAUUGUCAGGGUUAAAGGUAAAUAUUU